rnacentral:rRNA from 1 species
UACAGAGGUCUCAAGCGUUGUUCGGAUUCAUUGGGCGUAAAGCGCGUGUAGGUGGGUCGUUAAGUGUCCGCGUGAAAUCCCACGGCUCAACCGUGGAACUGCCGGGCAUACUGGCGAUCUUGAGGCAUUCAGGGGCGAGCGGAACAAGUGGUGGAGCGGUGAAAUGCGUAGAUAUCACUUGGAACGCCAAUGGUGAAAACAGCUCGCUGGGAAUGAUCUGACGCUGAGGAGCGAAAGCGUGGGGAGCGAACAGG